UACAGAGGUCUCAAGCGUUGUUCGGAUUCAUUGGGCGUAAAGAGCGCGUAGGCGGUCCGUUAAGUGAGGAGUGAAAGCUCCGGGCUCAACCCGGAAAUCGCUUUUCAUACUGGCGGACUCGAGGGUGGCAGAGGCUUGUGGAAUUCCUGGUGUAGCGGUGAAAUGCGUAGAUAUCAGGAGGAACACCCAUGGCGAAGGCAGCAAGCUGGGCCGCAUCUGACGCUGAGGCGCGAAAGCGUGGGUAGCAAACAGG
rnacentral:rRNA from 1 species